AUACAAUUCAGAAAACA
rnacentral:sRNA from 1 species